rnacentral:rRNA from 1 species
GUAUUAGUUAUGUUCUUGAAACUUAAAAAAUUUGGCGGUAUUUUAGUCUAUCCAGAGGAACCUGUUUUGUAAUCGAUAAUCCACGAUGGACCUUACUUAAAUUUGUAAUCAGUUUAUAUACCGUCGUUAUCAGAAUAUUUUAUAAGAAUAAUAAUAUUCAAUAAUUUUUAUUAAAAUUUAUAUCAGAUCAAGGUGUAGCUUAUGUUUAAGUAAUAAUGGGUUACAAUAAAUUUAUUUAAACGGAUAAAAUUAUGAAAAAGUUUUUGAAGGUGGAUUUGGUUGUAAAAUUAUAAAGAUUAAUAAUUUGAUUUUAGCUCUAAAAUAUGUACACAUCGCCCGUCGCUCUUAUUAUUAAGGUAAGAUAAGUCGUAACAUAGUAGAUGUACUGGAAAGUGUAUCUAGAAUGA